rnacentral:lncRNA from 1 species
ACUUCUUGUUUUGCAAAUAAUCUGCCUCUUUCAGUGAAUGAUGGCAGUUCAUAUAUGCGGACAGAAUUAUCAUUGCAAGAAGAAAGCAAGAUUGGCUUGCUUUCUGCAUCUGUCAUUCCGGCAAGAUCAAGAACACCCUGCUCUUCGUUGUGAGUGUAGGUCACUUCCAAACCACCUCCUUCAGUGGCAGCCCACACCUUUAUCGUGUCGUCCAGUGAGCAUGAGAGCAAGAACUGAUCCCAGCAAAGAAGAGACAUCACCACACCAGAAUGCCCAUUUAGUGUCAGAACACCCUGCAAAGUAUAAAGGUCCCACACCUGAAACAAAAAGAACAUUACAGUAAAUUACACGAGGAAUUUGAAUACAGAAGCACUCCAUAAUCAGAUUAUUGGAAUAAAUCAUUUUGCUCCCUCUAUUGUAAAUAGAGGAGGGGACAUAUAGUCGAAGCUGACAAAACUUGUUUGUAGAUGCCACAAACUUACCUUAAUUGUAUGGUCCACAGAACCCGAGUAAAGCCUGUUGCGCCCAACAGUUAAACAUACCACAGCACCAGUGUGGCCCUUCAGAGUUGCAGCAGGAUAAAAUGGCGGAUUAGUUUCAGUGCUACCUUUCCACACACAUAUAUCACCAUUCUGCAAUAUUAAAAGAAACAGAUAAAUCAAUUGAAAAUGGUGCACUAUGAAUAAAAGGAGGAACAUAUAUCCUAAAAUCCCAGCUACGCAAUAAUUAGGAAAGCUGCGGAAUUGUUAGGCUCUUUACCUGUGUCCCAGCGAAAAGCAUUUCAUUACCAACCACCAUAGCAUGCACUUGGCCAACAGGUCCAUCCAGGUUGAAUUCAGAAUUUGUCUCAGUAUUCCAAACCUGCAACAUCAAGCAAAAUCAGCAUACAUAUUGAAGUUGAACCAACCAAGCUACUAAAAAAAAGUGCUCCAGUUAAAACAAUGAAAUACCUUAACAAGAUUUGGUACACCAGCAAAAACCCAUGGGCCCUCACUAAUUAAAGAACCUGCUUCACCACCAAGAUCAAUCGCACUGCCACAUUCACCAGUAUGGCAGUCCCAAACUCUGGCUGUUCCAUCUUUACUGGUUGAAUAAAGCUUGUUAGUUCGUUCAGGAAGGGCAAUACCAGUGACAGCCUGUUAACAUAAAUUUCACAAUUAUUAUUUCCGAAGAGGAACAGAACAAAUUAAAAAAGAAAACAUAUUUCGAAAAUUAAAAAUACCUUCGUGUGCCCUUGGAGCUUUGCCAACAUGGAGAACUCCUCACCACGGAACCAGUUAUGCAAAUACAGGCAUCGAUCACCUUUCACACAGUUUCCAUCUACCCAGAACUUACAGACAUUUUUUGGAGUAGGAUUGCUUUUCUGGGCAGCAUUGCUUUUCUGAGGAGCAUUGCUUUUCUUAGGAGCAUUGCUUUUCUGAGUCUGAGCAGCAUUGCUUUCUUGAGGAGCAUUGAUUUUCUGAGGAGCAUUGCUUUUCUGAGUAGCAUUGCAUGCAUUGCCCUCUCCCGUGGCAGUUCCUUCCUUCGUCCAAAGAAGAGACGACUUCUUUGAAAUUUGAGGGUUCAUGGAUGAAGGCGGUGCAUCCGCGUGCAGGAAACGACAGAAUUCCCGUGUGCACCUUCCAGCAGCCCAAAAGGCGCAAACAGUUUUUGAAGGUCCUCCUGCAGGUCGAGCAUACACUGAUCUUUCUGGUCUAUUGGUGUGCUUCCUCACUACCUUAGUGGCCAUACUAUUAACACAAAAUUUGAAACCAAUAAGAAAUCGCAGAGAGACAGCUUUGAAGAUCACCCCCUCAAACAGAAUUUCAAUAUUUCAUCGAUCUUCAGAAAACCCUAAAAAUAUAUGAAACCCGAUAAGCCUUGAAAUCCAAAUCGACGUACGAUCAGCCUCUAAGAAUCGUGAAACUAGCGAGGGUGGAUUCUUCAAAUCCUCUAAAUCAAUUCGAAAACUUUUCAAACUAGCCAGUCGCCGAUCCCAAGGCGUAUCCUAAACAACAAUAAAAGUAACCCUAAAAUCGAAACCCUAGAUAUCCAGUUUGAGGGAGCAUCAAACCCAUAACCAAAAACCAUUAUCCUCAAGAAAUACGCGUUCGGCGAAAAAAAUAGCCUCUUGGGUAUCAAUUAACGGUCGAAAACGAACAAAACCCUAGAAGGAACAAUACGAUUGCAGAGACGCGUGAAGAGAAGAAGCAAACCUGAUCGAUUCGAUUGGGAGAGAGAUUUGAGCUUUGAAGCUAUUCGAUUAUCGUCUGGACUGAUUUCGAAGCACAGUCAAUCCAAAUGGACGAACGAUCAAAGAGAAAGAAAACGAUCACGGAGAAAGAAAGAAAAUGCCUUUUGCUUUCGUUGCGAUUGAAACCCUAAUUGUAAGCGAAACUUCGAUCACUCUGGCCUGAAGCUGAUCUUCUAUGUGUGUAUAUAUAGUUGGCGUAGGCUGGAGACUUUCCAACUGGCGCCAGGAAAGAAGUAUUGCGUUCGUAGACGCGGUGAUCGUAGAACUGAUCGUGACCGUCCGAUAUAAAGCAACUAUUUCUGACCGUCAGAUCUAAUAUAUUUUUGUCGUUUUCUCUUUAUUUCUUUUUAAACCAAACUAGCUUUCUUUCGGACAAAAAAAAAACCUAACUAACUUUUUAUCAAAAGCAAUUUCUUUGUUUGCAAUUAUUUAACUAAAUCAUUUUCACCCAUGCCUCUGGAAAAUCAUAAAGUAAAAAUAUAAUAGAUCAGCAUGCUAGUGGUUAAUAAAAUAAAAAUAUUUAAACUUAAGGAGUUAAAAGGCUUUUUAAGAUCGAGAGAACUUAUAUAUAAGCUAACGAAGUUUAGUCAUGUAAAAAAAGAGUUUGAUUUGCAUACAAGUGGUCUCAAGUUCAAACUUCUCUCAAACCUCGAUAAUAUUUGAAUACCCCUCCCCUUCCUAACUUUCCAAAAAAAAAAAUAUAUAUAUAUAUAGCGAUUUAGAUAACAUUACAAGAUCCACUAUAUGUAGACCCACAUUGAAAGAUACAUCUUACGUUUCAAUUACCAAAAUGAUGUUCUUUGCAUUUCAUAGAUUUUAUCUCUAUGAACAAGUCUCGCCCCCAACUCCUUCGUGCGAGUGCCAAGUGUGGCAGCUAUCUCAGAUUGGAUUUCUUUUACCUCCUUUAAUGAAAGUUCUUAGUGACCAAAAAAUAAAGGAUUGGAUUUCUUCUACGAAAACAGCCACCAAUCUUAGAUUGUGUUUGAAUCCCUCGAAUGACAUAGACUGGAAGGGGUAAGUAAAUUCAAAAUUAGAACUGCAUUUAUAAUGACUUUAAAUUCUCAAUAAUGAAUCAUUUUUCAGAUUGAAAAAUUUCACUGUACAUUAACAGUGUAAGAACAAACAUCACAGAGGGAUCAUGUAUUAAAAAUUGAUCCCCACAGAAAUGAACACAACUAAUUUGAAUAGCUGACUGGCUUUAGAUACAGGAUUGCUACAAUUGAUGUUUCACGGCCACCAUAGCAAUGGCUCUUGCAAGCUGACGGAAAUAAAAUAUUCACGGAACUGGCUGCAGUAAAGUAACUCAUGAAGACUCCACUUUGACUGCGGCAGGAGGAUCCAUCCACUUCCAAACAGAAAGGAGACCAGUUGCAUCCCCACUGAAGAAUAGUCCUCCAGGUCCUACCUCGACGGUCCGAACUUCUUGUUUUGCAAAUAAUCUGCCUCUUUCAGCGAAAGACGGCAGUUCAUAUAUGCGGACAGAAUUAUCAUUGCAAGAUGAAAGCAAGAUUGGCUUGCUUUCUGGGUCUGUCAUACCGGCAAGAUCAAGAACACCGUGCUCUUCAUUGUGUGUGUAGGUCACUUCCAAACCGCCUCCUUCAGUGGCAGCCCACACCUUUAUCGUGUCGUCCAGUGAGCAUGAGAGCAAGAACUGAUCCCAGCAAAGAAGAGACAUCACCGCACCAGAAUGCCCAUUUAGUGUCAGAACACCCUGCAAAGUAUAAAGGUCCCACACCUGAAACAAAAAGAACAUUACAGUAAAUUACACGAGGAAUUUGAAUACAGAAGCACUUCAUAAUCAGAUCAUUGGAAUUUUCUUUAUUAAAAUAAAAACACCACAAAAACAAACUAAAACAGAAUAAAUCAUUUUGCUCUUUUGUAAAUGGGGAAGAGGACAUAUAGUAGACACUGACAAAACUUGUUUGUAGAU